rnacentral:rRNA from 1 species
CAGUCGCCACGGUAAUACGAAUGGGGCUAGCGUUGCUCGGAAUGACUGGGCGUAAAGGGCGCGUAGGCGGCGGCCAAAGUCAGGCGUGAAAUUCCCGGGCUCAACCUGGGGGCUGCGUUUGAUACUUGGUUGCUUGAGUGGGGAAGAGGGUCGUGGAAUUCCCAGUGUAGAGGUGAAAUUCGUAGAUAUUGGGAAGAACACCGGUGGCGAAGGCGGCGACCUGGUCCUUUACUAACGCUGAGGCGCGAAAGCGUGGGGAGCAAACAGGAUUAGAUACCCCCGUAGUCCCUGUCUCUUAUAC